GCGGCUGUAGCUCAGUGGUAGAGCGCGACCUUGCCAAGGUCGAUGUCGAGGGUUCAAAUCCCUUCAGCCGCUCCA
rnacentral:tRNA from 1 species